UUCUGCUGAUUAAGCUUUUCAAAAUUGCCCAUUCUGGGUCUACGAUUGAUGCCAUCUAGCAUGAGUGUGAAGAGAUUGUUCAUCUGUCUCAGGUAGGGAUUAAGCAUAGCCAAAUCUUCUAGGAAGACAUACUUUAACCUCAGCACUUGUAUACAGUUUGCAUGUACAAUUUUGAAGACUUCUAUGUCUGCAGCCUCGGUUAAGCCCCAAAUCUCCAGCAUUCUGCAGCAUAGAUGAAAGGAAUCUUUUCUCUGUUGGGCCCACUUCAAUAGUCAGGACAGGUCUCCACUGGCUGCUUCUGUGUCGUGAACUCUGCUAAGCCUUCAUUUUCAUUGUAUCCAGCCCAUAUUCCAGAUAACUCAUGGUGUAUAUCCAUCCAAUUGAUCUCUCUGAGUUUGCACCUACUGUGGGAGGAAUGAGUAUAAUUCUCAGAAGCCCAGACUGGUCAUCUUGUCUCAGUGUGCAAAGUCCACAGCUACAGACAAAAAGAGAGGAGAAAGAAGAGGAGGGAAAGUCAUGGGAUGGUCUGGACCCAGCUCUACACUCCUGAUACUCCAUGACUGUGCUCCGGACAUCUAAGCCCCAGCUCUGUGCUCCUGAUACCCCAGUCCCGACUCUGUGCUCCCUGCUGCCCCAGCAUUGUGUUCCUGCUCCUUAGGGCUUUGUCUUUGAGGAGAUGAUUUGCUCUGGGGUCCUUAGAGAUCAAUUCAUAAAAUGGUAGGGCCCUUGGGACAUAUGAAACAUAAACCUAGAAUAAUAUGCCUCCAACGUAACACAUUCUGAAGAGAGUCAGGCAAGAAGUGAAUGGUGUUUUCCCCUUCACAUCUGUGCUGUGUGCUGCGGAAGGUUAUAUUAGUAAUUAAGACUGCAAUCACUGUAGAAAGACAAUAAACAUGUUUGUCUAUGCUUUUGUCAUGUCGGGCUCGAAAGCCGUGCUCUUAAAAUCAAGUCAGAUGGACAUAGCAUUGACCUUCUGGGAUGCCUUAGGGUCUCCAGUGUUUCCUGGAAUUCAGAGAAAUGCAGGGAACCUCCUCCAAAAAGCCUUCACACCAGUCAUCAUUGCAACCCUGAGGG